AUUAGCAAAUAAAUGCAUUAGAAUUAGAAUCUAAAAAUACUUAUAUAAUAU
rnacentral:tRNA from 1 species